rnacentral:lncRNA from 1 species
CGAUCCUGUAAUUCUCGGGGCCUGAGACGAAGUCUGGAAAUUAGGCCCCGACGAAAUCUACGUAAAUGCAAACUUCAAAAAUGAAUUAUGCGACCCAUUACUAAUUUAAAAAACUAACAUUAAAACAGCAACCAAAUAUAUUAUAGAAAAUAUUUAUAUUAUAAACUAUCAAAACCAACAAUGUUUGAAACAAUUAGUUAAAUUCUAUUCGUCUUGUUGUUUUAGAGUCAAAAACAUCAAUCAAAUCUGAAUAAUUUAGCUACUCAAUCAUUUCUUUCUCUAUUGAUAACAUAGUCAACCCGUUUAAUUUUUCUUUCGACAUGGUUGAUCGGAGAUAGGUCUUGAUCAACUUCAAUUUCGAGAAACUUCUUUCCGCAAAUGCAACUGUAACCGGUAUGGUUAACAAAAUUUUGUAAGCAAUAUAAGCAUUUGGAAAACAAACAUUCAAUAUCUUCAAAUAAUGUGGCACUUCAAUUGCUCUUGUUGCUUCACCUGGUAUAUAACACAUCAAGAUUUGUAACUCCGAACAUGAAUCAUCCCCACUGUUGUCCAAACGCCGAUCAUGUUGAAGAUAUUUCUCAAGAUUCAUACAAGAGUUCAAUAAACUUGAAAAAGUUGCACCCCUUAACCUCUUCAAAUUAAACAAAAAUCCAAAUGUGUUAUCAUAUUGUUUGAAUUGUUCAAAUUGGGUUCUCAGAGAAGAUAGAGCUUGAUCAAUUAUAAAAACAAAGCACUCAACUCUAAAAAAUUCUUCUGUUGAUUGCUUUACCUCAUUACUACCGCUUUCAUCAAAUUAUUUUUUUCUUCGAAUUAUGCGUUUUUCUAUAAAUACAGCUUCAAUUCCCAUUUCGCUUGCGUUUUUUGUCGCUUCAUCCUUGGCAAUAGCAAAUCCAAUUUCUCUAUAUUCCUCAAGAAAUGAAACAAGUCCUUGCAAGAGGUCGAUAACAUGAUUAAUAUCCAUGGAUUCGGUUUGAAGAAAUUUACUCACAAUAUUGACAGCAUGCAACAACCUGUACCAGAUUAUCAUGCCAAGCAAAAACUCAAAAUUUUUGAAGUUCAUGUGUUGCUAAUGACUCGGCUUCACUCUUCAGUUUAGGAUAUUCAUUACUUUCUGCCAAAUCAAAUAAUGCAUCUCUUAUCUGUGCAAUUUGCUCCAUUAUCAUGACUUUUCCAACAUGUUUGUGACAAUGGCUUCAUUGUCAACCCUUGUACACUGUCUUUGAAAAUUUUCCAUCACUUGGUAGAAGAAGAAAACAAUGUGUAGAUGCGUUGUAUCACUCCGAAGAAGGAUACAACUUUGGACAACAAUUCACCAUAUCACAUAAUGCUAUAUUUAGACUAUGAGUGCCACAUGGAGUAAGCCUUUUGAAACUCGGUUGCAAGUCCAAGUCCUAUUGUAUCAUCUGCUUUAAAAAAUUUUAGCCAAUGUUCUUCAACUGUAGGUAAGUUUUUCGAAUCAUCUACAAAUCAUACAAUUAAAGACAUUUGUUCCUCGUGACUUGCAUCUGGAGUACAAUCAAGUAUAACUGCAAAAUAUUUUGCAUGUUUAACUUUCUUGACAAUUGAACUUCUCACCUCAUUAGCCAACAACUGUAUCAAAUCAUUUUGAAUUUUUUUUGCCAAGAUACGUAUAUUGAAUCUCUCUUGCUUUAGCUCGUCGAAGGUGCUCUUGCAUUACUGGAUCAAAUUCACUAACCAUGGUCAUUGUACUCAACAUGUAGCCUCUCAUCAUCUUCUCGAAAUAGCAAUGUGCUUUUUGCAAGUCUUUUUACAAUAGUGAUUAUCCUUGUUAAUACAUGUAUCCAAUGUUCUCUUUCAGCAUCAAUCAACAAUUCAAAGCUUUUAUUAAUUGUAGUUUUUGUUUGAAGCCUAUUUUCCAAUUCAAUCCAACUAGUCAUGCAACUUAAAUGCUCUUCAUUUCCUUCAUGACUUUUAAUAGAUCGAUACAAAUUAUGUCUAUUUUUGAAUCCAUCAUUACCUAGUUGGCCAACUUCGGUCACAUUUAUUUGUGUUUUAAACAACUUGCAAGUAAAGCAGAAGAUACUGUCCAUAGACACUGAAUAUACUAGCCAUCUUCUAUCAACUGUUUGCCCAUUUAGUAAUAAUCGCUUAUAUUAUAAAGAAUCGAAAUGUCUAUUUGUAUAGUCUUUCGGAAACGAGAUGUCAUCAACUCUUUUUGGACCCCUUUCAACUAAGUAAUCCCUGGUUCUUUGACCAAUGAUUUUCCAAUUCCCAGGAUCAUCCAAAUUUAUAGAAAAGCAACAAUCUUCUUCCUUAUCAUCUUCUUCAUUAUUAGAGGCGGGCUUCAUCACUUCUUCUUUCUUAUCAUCUACUUCGUUAACAUCUGCCUGUUGACUCACUUCUUCAUCCUUAUCAUCUAACUUCAUUAACAUGGUCUUGUUGAAUCUCUACUUCAUCCUCAUUCAACACAUUCACAUUGUUGCUUUUGAAGUACUUGUUAAUAUCCCCUGCUUGCUUUGAAUUAAUGCAAUUUCAUCUCGUUUCCUUUUCCUCUUUUGAGCACCAGACUCAUAUUUAGGAGGCAUACUAUAGGGGUGAAUAUCUAAUGUCCAAUGAUUAACCUAAAAAACAAUUACACAAUAUCUCAAUCAUCUCACAAUUAUAGUUUCGAAUAUAGUUACUACGUGCGCCUGUUCAAUUGUUCAUCGUACAAUAAGCAAUCAUAUGAGCCGACUAGGCUGCAAUUAUAUAAGCUGAUAAGGCUUCAAAUAAUUCCAAUCUCUUCAAUAACAAGUUAGUGCAAACCAUUACUUACUAGAGAAAUGGAAUUUAGAUGAAGAUUGUGGAAUUACACCAUUGAGAAUGAUACCAUUUUCUGAACUAGGAGUAAGCCGAUUGCAAUUUUAAAAAAUUUAAUAAUAGCUUCAGGUGCAUUCAUAAUGGCCCCUACAAAUUGAGACAAAGACAUC